rnacentral:rRNA from 1 species
AUUGAACGCUGGCGGCAGGCCUAACACAUGCAAGUCGAACGAGUGGCGGACGGGUUAGUACUGUCUGGGAAACUGCCUGAUGGAGGGGGGUAACUACUGGAAACGGUAGCUAAUACCGCAUACCAUCGGAUGUGCCCACAUGGGAUUUGCUAGUUGGUGGGGUAACGGCUCACCCAGGCGACGCUCCCUAGCUGGUCUGAGAGGAUGACCAGCCACACUGGAACUGAGACACGGUCCAGACUCCUACGGGAGGCAGCAGUGGGGAAUAGUGCACAAUGGGCGCAAGCCUGAUGCAGCCAUGCCGCGUGUAUGAAGAAGGCCUUCGGGUUGUAAAGUACUUUCAGCGGGGAGGCGUUACUCGCAGAAGAAGCACCGGCUAACUCCGUGCCAGCAGCCGCGGUAAUAC